GCUUAACACAUGCAAGUCGAGGGGCAUCAGGAAGACUUCUUGCUUUCUUUGCUGGCGACCGGCGCACGGGUGAGUAACACGUAUCCAACCUGCCCUUUACUCGGGGAUAGCCUUUCGAAAGAAAGAUUAAUACCCGAUAGCAUAAUGAUUCCGCAUGGUUUCAUUAUUAAAGGAUUCCGGUAAAGGAUGGGGAUGCGUUCCAUUAGGUUGUUGGUGAGGUAACGGCCCACCAAGCCUUCGAUGGAUAGGGGUUCUGAGAGGAAGGUCCCCCACAUUGGAACUGAGACACGGUCCAAACUCCUACGGGAGGCAGCAGUGAGGAAUAUUGGUCAAUGGGCGCUAGCCUGAACCAGCCAAGUAGCGUGAAGGAUGAAGGCUCUAUGGGUCGUAAACUUCUUUUAUAUAAGAAUAAAGUGCAGUAUGUAUACUGUUUUGUAUGUAUUAUAUGAAUAAGGAUCGGCUAACUCCGUGCCAGCAGCCGCGGUAAUACGGAGGAUCCGAGCGUUAUCCGGAUUUAUUGGGUUUAAAGGGAGCGUAGGUGGACUGGUAAGUCAGUUGUGAAAGUUUGCGGCUCAACCGUAAAAUUGCAGUUGAUACUGUCAGUCUUGAGUACAGUAGAGGUGGGCGGAAUUCGUGGUGUAGCGGUGAAAUGCUUAGAUAUCACGAAGAACUCCGAUUGCGAAGGCAGCUCACUGGACUGCAACUGACACUGAUGCUCGAAAGUGUGGGUAUCAAACAGGAUUAGAUACCCUGGUAGUCCACACAGUAAACGAUGAAUACUCGCUGUUUGCGAUAUACAGUAAGCGGCCAAGCGAAAGCAUUAAGUAUUCCACCUGGGGAGUACGCCGGCAACGGUGAAACUCAAAGGAAUUGACGGGGGCCCGCACAAGCGGAGGAACAUGUGGUUUAAUUCGAUGAUACGCGAGGAACCUUACCCGGGCUUAAAUUGCAGUGGAAUGAUGUGGAAACAUGUCAGUGAGCAAUCACCGCUGUGAAGGUGCUGCAUGGUUGUCGUCAGCUCGUGCCGUGAGGUGUCGGCUUAAGUGCCAUAACGAGCGCAACCCUUAUCUUUAGUUACUAACAGGUUAUGCUGAGGACUCUAGAGAGACUGCCGUCGUAAGAUGUGAGGAAGGUGGGGAUGACGUCAAAUCAGCACGGCCCUUACGUCCGGGGCUACACACGUGUUACAAUGGGGGGUACAGAAGGCAGCUAGCGGGUGACAGGAUGCUAAUCCCAAAAACCUCUCUCAGUUCGGAUCGAAGUCUGCAACCCGACUUCGUGAAGCUGGAUUCGCUAGUAAUCGCGCAUCAGCCAUGGCGCGGUGAAUACGUUCCCGGGCCUUGUACACACCGCCCGUCAAGCCAUGAAAGCCGGGGGUACCUGAAGUACGUAACCGCAAGGAGCGUCCUAGGGUAAAACUGGUAAUUGG
rnacentral:rRNA from 1 species